rnacentral:rRNA from 1 species
CCUACGGGAGGCAGCAGUGAGGAAUAUUGGUCAAUGGGCUUACGCCUGAACCAGCCAAGUCGCGUGAGGGAAGACUGCCCUAUGGGUUGUAAACCUCUUUUGUCAGGGAGCAACGCAGGCUACGUGUAGCCGGACUGAGAGUACCUGAAGAAAAAGCAUCGGCUAACUCCGUGCCAGCAGCCGCGGUAAUACGGAGGAUGCGAGCGUUAUCCGGAUUUAUUGGGUUUAAAGGGUGCGUAGGCGGAAUGCGAAGUCAGCGGUAAAAUCGCGGGGCUCAACCUCGCUCCGCCGUUGAAACUGGCGUUCUUGAGUGGGCGAGAAGUAUGCGGAAUGCGUGGUGUAGCGGUGAAAUGCAUAGAUAUCACGCAGAACUCCGAUUGCGAAGGCAGCAUACCGGCGCCCGACUGACGCUGAGGCACGAAAGCGUGGGGAUCGAACAGGAUUAGAUACCCUAGUAGUC